rnacentral:lncRNA from 1 species
CCGCAAGAAAGAUUAAUAUUUGACAAAAUCAUGAGAUAUGUUCUUUACCAGAAAAAUCUCAUCUUCUGUUUUUGCUUCCACUCAAGUUCUCUCGCACAAGACUGGUAUGCAUACUUGCUACUGAAAUUUAUUGCUUGGGGUGUGUACCAUAGUUGUGCAUAGAUUCAUUUGCCUUAACAGUUUGAGAGUUGACUAGAGUGUGAAAAAGAGCUGCCAAAGACAUGUAAUAAAUUCAGCAAGAAUUACUCCUGAUUCCUAUAUUUCAUUUGAUAACAGAUGUGCAUUAUAUACCCUCUGUAGAAAAAUAAGAGCUUUUGUUCUGUAAUGGAUUAUUGAAUAGAUUUUCAACGAUAGUGAGGUAAUAAAUUAAAAAGUAAAUCAACCAUUUUUCAAAUAGAUUUCUGUUCUGCUCACCAGUUUUGUAUAGAACAGGAAGAAGGUGAGACUGUUCCAUAGGGAGAUCUUUUGCAGUAUUUAGUCAACGGCAACCUGUUGGUCUCUUGGUCACAAUUUACUGUGACCCAAGUACAGUUCAUUGGCUGAAUCAAACUAGAAUUAGAAUUACUAAAACUAUUCAUUUGGAAGGGACCUACAAGGAUCAUAAGUCCAACUGUCUAAUCAUGUCAAGGCUAUGCAAAAUUUAAAGUGUAUGAUUGAAGGCAUUGUCCAAAUGGCUCUAGAACACUGACAAGCAUGGGGCAUCAACCACCUCAUUAGGAAACCUGUUUCAGUGUUUGACCACACUAAAGAAGUUUGACCUGUUGAACAGGACUGGCCCUAGAAUUGAGCCCUGAAGAACACCUCUUGUGACAUCAGCCAGAUGUAGCCCCAUUCUCAACAACAAUUUGAACUCUUCCAUCAAUCAAGUUCUUCACCCAGUGUAGGCAUUGCAUGAACCCGUUCAACACACAGUUGGAGAAUUUAUCCAGAAGGAUGCUAUGAGAGAUAGUAUCAAAGGCCUUACUAAAAUAUGUGACUGUAAGGCACAUGGGGCCAGCAGGCCUUCUGAUAAUUCUUCACAUGGAAACCAUUAGUCAAAUUCAUGCUGUGUGUAAUUUCAUGAAGCCAGUGAGCUUAAUGCUGUGGAUAAUAUCCCCCCAGAGCACUAAAGGCAAGGUGGAAGCACUCAUAGUCUGCCCUGGCACCCCUGCCACAGCUAAAGAAGUUGCUGUGGCCAGAACCCAGCUGCUGGCAGGUAUAUUGUCCAGCUCUGAAUCCCUCGUACAAACACCCAGCUUGGCAAGGAGAAGGCACUGCAAACCUGGUGAAUAUGAAGGAUUUAGAGAUCAUGGAGGGUGCUAA